GCCAGGCGCUGUGGCGGGCGCCUGUAGUCCCAGCUACUUGGGAGGCUGAGGCAGGAGACUCGCUUGAGCCCAGGAGUUGGAGGUUGUUGUGAGCGUGGUGCCAUGGCACUCUACCCAGGGGGAUAGCUUGAGGCUCCGUCUUAAAAAAAAAAAAAAAUUAUUUAAUCCAGUUAUGGACCUUGCAGAAGAAGACAAUUAACUUAUAAUGAAGGAUAUCAUCAUUAUUGCUAAACUAAAAAAGAGUGGACAUACUUUCUUUUUCUUUUCUUUUUUUUUUUUUUGAGACGGAGUCUCAAGCUAUCCCCCUGGGUGGAGUGCCAUGGCAUCACGCUCACAGCAACCUCCAACUCCUGGGCUCAAGCGAGUCUCCUGCCUC
rnacentral:SRP_RNA from 1 species